AACGAACGCUGGCGGCAUGCCUAACACAUGCCAGUCGAACGAGACCUUCGGGUCUAGUGGCGCACGGGUGCGUAACGCGUGGGAACCUGCCCUUAGGUUCGGAAUAACUCCCCGAAAGGGGUGCUAAUACCGGAUAAUGUCUUCGGACCAAAGAUUUAUCGCCUUUGGAUGGGCCCGCGUUGGAUUAGCUAGUUGGUAGGGUAAAAGCCUACCAAGGCGACGAUCCAUAGCUGGUUUGAGAGGAUGAUCAGCCACACUGGGACUGAGACACGGCCCAGACUCCUACGGGAGGCAGCAGUGGGGAAUAUUGGACAAUGGGCGAAAGCCUGAUCCAGCAAUGCCGCGUGAGUGAUGAAGGCCUUAGGGUUGUAAAGCUCUUUUACCCGGGAUGAUAAUGACAGUACCGGGAGAAUAAGCUCCGGCUAACUCCGUG
rnacentral:rRNA from 1 species